rnacentral:rRNA from 1 species
UACGGGGGGAGCAAGCGUUGUUCGGAUUUACUGGGCGUAAAGGGCGCGUAGGCGGCCAGCACAAUUCAGUUGUGAAAUCUCCGAGCUUAACUCGGAAAGGUCAACUGAUACUGUGCGGCUAGAGUGCGGAAGGGGCAACUGGAAUUCUUGGUGUAGCGGUGAAAUGCGUAGAUAUCAAGAGGAACACCUGAGGCGAAGGCGGGUUGCUGGGCCGACACUGACGCUGAGGCGCGAAAGCCAGGGGAGCGAACGGG